GAUGAAGAACGUAGCGAAAUGCGAUAAGUAAUGUGAAUUGCAGAAUUCAGUGAAUCAUCGAAUCUUUGAACGCACAUUGCGCCCCCUGGUAUUCCGGGGGGCAUGCCUGUUCGAGCGUCAUUUCACCACUCAAGCCUCGCUUGGUAUUGGGCAACGCAGUCCGCCGCGUGCCUCAAAUCGACCGGCUGGGUCUUCUGUCCCCUAAGCGUUGUGGAAACUAUUCGCUAAAGGGUGUUCGGGAGGCUACGCCGUAAAACAACCCCAUUUCUAAGGUUGACCUCGGAUCAGGUAGGGAUACCCGCUGAACUUAAGCAUAUCAAUAAGCGGAGGA
rnacentral:misc_RNA from 1 species